rnacentral:SRP_RNA from 14 species
GGAAUGGAGCAGCGGCAGCGGGCUCACCUCGGGCGCGAU